rnacentral:rRNA from 1 species
AACACGUGGGGAACCUGCCCCAUAGUCUGGGAUACCACUUGGAAACAGGUGCUAAUACCGGAUAAGAAAGCGGAUCGCAUGAUCAGCCUUUAAAAGGCGGCGUAAGCUGCCGCUAUGGGAUGGCCCCGCGGUGCAUUAGCUAGUUGGUAAGGUAAAGGCUUACCAAGGCGAUGAUGCAUAGCCGAGUUGAGAGACUGAUCGGCCACAUUGGGACUGAGACACGGCCCAAACUCCUACGGGAGGCAGCAGCC